UUAAUUUGUUAUGAAAUAUGAAGGUUAUUUAUCUCUUCCUCUACCAUUUUAUUAAGAAAUCAUAUUAGAAGCAUAUGAGCAGGUUACCCUUUGCACAGUGCUCUAGAUUGUUGUAUAGAUAAGUUGAGGACACUUCCAUUUUUCACUUUCCUUUAUUAGGAUAUCAUCCUUUGGGUGCUUUCCAGUCUACCAGUGAAUGACAAACACUGCUAUAUCGAGAGUGUGAGAAAUUGAAUACCAUACAAGUUGUCAGACAUCUAAGACAGAAGAUCCCUGCAAGCAGUGAGGAGAGAUUGGAUACAUUCAUUGGAAUUACAGUCGUGACAAGCAAUAGGGCUGCCACUGAAGACAACCUUUGUCUGCUUGUUAGUGAAAAACAAAAAAGGAGGGAAGAGAAUGGAGGUUGUGAUGUGAUAAGAAGGCAACGAAGAGCUGGAAGCAAACACCAACAACAGAUAAACGACAUGAUUCAAAAACAAAGGGUUUAAAGACACCAGAGAUAUGUCAGAAGUGUUCAUGGCUAAAGAGAGAUGUUGGAAAGCAAAUGAAUCCUCAUAGGUGUCUCACUUCAAAACUUUUAAAAAUACCUGCAAAAUCACCAAGAAGUUAGUUUACUUUGGGCCUUUAUUUCUGUGUGCUUCCCAUACAACUCAGGAUACAUCACCAGCUUCUCUUCCAAAACAGUAAGACAUUGAAGGCUCAUAUUUUUCUUCUGUGCAUUAUGAUCCAAGUGUGUUCAUAAAAUAAGAUAUAGUAAGGCCAUUCUAUGAAGUAUUACAGUAAAAUAAAAAUCCAAUGUUGAACCUAAUUUUCCCUGUAAGUCUCUGACCUCAUUAGCUAUAUCCUUUCAACUCUGGAGUAGGGAUUGCAUUUUUGCUCAAUGCUGUCACUAUGGGAGAUGCUCAAAAAAUAUUCUCCAAUUCUUCACAUUUUAUUGAGGGUUCUUCCUUGAGUAUGACAGCCAAUCCACAACUUCUAACAUGAAGUGAUUGGGAAGCCCAGAGAUACUGACUAAUUCUUACAAUAGGGACACAGCUUUGCAGCAAUCCUAUUCUAGUCCUUUUCUUGACAGUCCUGAUGGAGGCAAGAGGGGUGAUAUUGGCCUGUAACUUAUUGCCUUAACACUACCAGCCUUUUUUGUUGUGACUUUGACUACCUUCAAUUAAGUCAUGUAACCACUUAUUCUUCAGGUUUUCUUUGUUCUCAAGUGGAACAACU
rnacentral:lncRNA from 1 species